GCGGGUUGCAUCCGUUGUUACGUUGCCCGAAGACAGUAGUAAAUGUGAUUUGCAGGGUGCAAGCAACGUGUCAUUGUGGUUAGAAAAAAUGAAUCAGUAUACAUGUGAUUUAACUGUCAAAGCCGGAAUGUUUAAAGCAUACAUCCCGCCCAAGGCAUGCUGGGAUGAUCUCCUAUCAGGCAGCUUGGAAACUUCCAGACGCCGAUAUGCCUUACGUUCGGUGCAGCCGAGGUUAUGAACUGUC